rnacentral:rRNA from 1 species
UAGGGAAUCUUCCGCAAUGGACGAAAGUCUGACGGAGCAACGCCGCGUGAGUGAAGAAGGAUUUCGGUUCGUAAAACUCUGUUGUUAGGGAAGAAAAAAUGUAUAGUAACUAUAUACAAAAGAGACGGUAUCUAACCAGAAAGCCACGGCUAACUACGUGCCAGCAGCCGCGGUAAUACGUAGGUGGCAAGCGUCGUCCGGAAUUAUUGGGCGUAAAGCGCGCGCAGGUGGUUUAGAAAGUCUGAUGUGAAAGCCCACGGCUCAACCGUGGAGGGUCAUUGGAAACUAAUAAACUUGAGUGCAGGAGAGAAAAGUGGAAUUCCUAGUGUAGCGGUGAAAUGCGUAGAGAUUAGGAGGAGCACCGGUGGCGAAAGCGGCUUUUUGGCCUGCAACUGACACUGAGGCGCGAAAGCGUGGGGAGCAAACAGG